GUCCCGCUAUUCGGAGGUUCGAAUCCUUCCGUCCCAGAGCAUACCUGA
rnacentral:tRNA from 1 species